rnacentral:tRNA from 1 species
GCCGGUGUGGUGAAAUUGGCAGACGCAACGGAUUCAAAAUCCGUCGGGGGCAACUCCAUGUCGGUUCAAGUCCGACCACCGGUACCA